rnacentral:ncRNA from 1 species
UUUUUUUACAACUAUAAAUUGCAUGUGGCUCUAAUACCAUAAAGGAUUAGAGACAACUAUAAUUGGGUGAAAGCCUGACGAAGCAAUACUGCAUGGAGGUAGAAGGCUCAUGGAUCAUGAACUUCUGCUCUUGAAGAAGAAGUAAUGAAGGUGUCUAAGGAAUAAGCAUCAAUUAGCUCUAGGUCAACAGUCUGUGGUAAUACAGAGAAUGCAAGUAUCAUCUGGAAUGAUUGGACGUAAAGGGUCUGUAGGUGAUUUUUUAAGUCCAUCGUCAAAUCCUAACCCUAGACAGGUGGUGAAAACUACCAAGGUAGAGUAUGGUAAGGGUAGAGGGAACUUUCGAUGGAGUGGUGAAAUACAUAGAGAUCGGAAAGAACACUGCAUGCGUUCAAAGAACCUAACGGUGAUAGUUGAGUGGAAUGCUCCCUGUCUGGUUUAGAAUAAUAAAUUCCAAG